rnacentral:rRNA from 1 species
UACAGAGGUCUCAAGCGUUGUUCGGAUUCAUUGGGCGUAAAGGGUGUGUAGGUGGCGCGCUAAGUCGGGUGUGAAAUUUCGGAGCUUAACUCCGAAACUGCAUUCGAUACUGGCGUGCUUGAGGACUGGAGAGGAGACUGGAAUUUACGGUGUAGCAGUGAAAUGCGUAGAUAUCGUAAGGAAGACCAGUGGCGAAGGCGGGUCCCUGGACAGUUCCUGACGCUGAGGCACGAAGGCCAGGGGAGCAAACGGG